UACGGCCACAUCACGUUGAAACACCAGUUCCCGUACGAUCACAAGUUAAGCAACGUUGAGCCAGAUCAGUACCUGGAUGGGUAACCGCAUGGGAAUAGCAGAUGCAGUAA